CAGUAGCCGCGGUAAUGCAGAGGAUGCAAGCGUUAUCCGGAAUGAUUGGGCGUAAAGCGUCUGUAGGUGGCUUUUCAAGUCCGCCGUCAAAUCCCCGGGCUCAACCCUGGACAGGCAGUGGAAACUACCAAGCUGGAGUACGGUAGGGGCAGAGGGAAUUUCCGGUGGAGCGGUGAAAUUCGUAGAUGUUCGCAAGAACACCAGUGGCGAAGGCGGCUUACUGGCUCGAAACUGACGCUGAGGCGCGAAAGCGUGGGGAGCAAACAGGAUUAGAGACCCCUGUAGUCCCUGUCUCUUAUAC
rnacentral:rRNA from 1 species